rnacentral:rRNA from 1 species
AGACAGCAGUAGCCGCGGUAAUACGUAGGUGGCAAGCGUUGUCCGGAAUUAUUGGGCGUAAAGGGCUCGCAGGCGGUUUCUUAAGUCUGAUGUGAAAGCCCCCGGCUCAACCGGGGAGGGUCAUUGGAAACUGGGAAACUUGAGUGCAGAAGAGGAGAGUGGAAUUCCACGUGUAGCGGUGAAAUGCGUAGAGAUGUGGAGGAACACCAGUAGCGAAGGCGGCUCUCUGGUCUGUAACUGACGCUGAGGAGCGAAAGCGUGGGGAGCGAACAGGAUUAGAUACCCCCGUAGUCCCUGUCUCUUAUAC